CGCGGGGUGGAGCAGCCUGGUAGCUCGUCGGGCUCAUAACCCGAAGGUCGUCGGUUCGAAUCCGGCCCCCGC
rnacentral:tRNA from 1 species